GACGUAGGGCGCGAGCGUUUGUCCGGAUUUAUUGGGCGUAAAGAGCUCGUAGGCGGCUCGUUGCGUCGGCUGUGAAAACCCGCAGCUCAACUGUGGGCUUGCAGCCGAUACGGGCGGGCUAGGAUUCGGUAGGGGAGACUGGAAUUCCUGGAUGUAGCGGUGAAAUGCGCAGAUAUCAGGAGGAACACCGGUGGCGAAGGCGGCU
rnacentral:rRNA from 1 species